AUGAGGCUCUCUGCUCAGCUCCUGGGGCUACUGAUGCUCUGGGUGCCUGGAUCCAGUGGGGAUAUUGUGAUGACCCAGACUCCACUCUCCCUGCCCACCCCUGGAGAGCCAGCCUCCAUCUCCUGUAGAUCUAGUCAGAGCUUCCUGAAGAGUAAUGGGUACACCUAUUUGCACUGGUACCUGCAGAAGCCCGGCCAGUCUACACAGCUCCUAAUCUAUUUGGUUUCCAACUGCUCCUCUGGAGUCCCUGACAGGUUCAGUGGCAGUGGGUCCGGCACUGAUUUCACACUGAAAAUCAGCAGAGUAGAGACUGAGGAUAUUGGCAUUUAUUACUACAUGCAAAAUCUAUAA